CUACUACUCGCUCCGUCCGAAAAUACUUGCCAUUGAAAUGGAUGUAUCUAGAUGUAUUUUAGUUCUAGACACAUCCAUUUUGAUGACAAGUAAUUCCGGACGGAGGGAGUAUUAU
rnacentral:pre_miRNA from 1 species